rnacentral:tRNA from 1 species
GGUCGACUAGUUGACUGGUUAAAGCUUUGUGCUAAUAGAAGUUCUGCACGUUGCUGAUAUUAACAUGAAGGUAUUGGGUUCGACCCCCAAGUUGGCCA